rnacentral:rRNA from 1 species
CCUACGGGAGGCAGCAGUAGGGAAUCUUCCACAAUGGGCGAAAGCCUGAUGGAGCAACGCCGCGUGGGUGAAGAAGGUCUUCGGAUCGUAAAACCCUGUUGUUAGAGAAGAAAGUGCGUGAGAGUAACUGUUCACGUUUCGACGGUAUCUAACCAGAAAGCCACGGCUAACUACGUGCCAGCAGCCGCGGUAAUACGUAGGUGGCAAGCGUUAUCCGGAUUUAUUGGGCGUAAAGGGAACGCAGGCGGUCUUUUAAGUCUGAUGUGAAAGCCUUCGGCUUAACCGGAGUAGUGCAUUGGAAACUGGCAGACGUGAGUGCAGAAGAGGAGAGUGGAACUCUAUGUGUAGCGGUGAAAUGCGUAGAUAUAUGGAAGAACACCAGUGGCGAAAGCGGCUCUCUGGUCUGUAACUGACGCUGAGGUUCGAAAGCGUGGGUAGCAAACAGGAUUAGAUACCCUUGUAGUC